CAAGCCUGUGCGUCAAGUGUCGGCAUCAAGCAUACAUGAUCAGCUAGCGGGUACUGAUCAAUGUCCACUACUUCUGCCGAAUUACACUGGAUCGGAGGGAUUUCCAGUCCCGCAGGUCCGUUUGGCCGGAAAUUCUGAAAAUUCUGCAUCGGCGGAAGCGGCUGCUGUACUUGCUGCACGGGCGGCGGCGCCGGAGCCUGCAUCUGCGGCUGUAUCUGAGGCUGGAUUAUCGGCGGCGGAGGAAAUGCCUGGGCGUACUGCACUGGCUGCAUCUCCAUCACUUGCGGCUGCUGAUAUACCGGAUACGAGAUCAGCGAACCAAACAUAAGACGGUCCCUUUAGUGCACCGGAAAUCGCUCGACAAGUCUGUUUAUCGUUCCAGCCGUUUGUGGUACGACACUGAUCGACGGAAAUCACCCACUGCUGGAUACGCUCAGGCCGGGUGUCAUCGAAAUUCUGAAGCUUCAUCCCGGACUCAUUCCUCUCUGUACCCCUUUCCGUUAACCUCUCCAGAAUAUCCGCGAUUUUAUCGUCGCGCUCUGAUUGUCGUACUUCCCGAGGAUCCUGGAGGAUAAUUCUGUGGGACGAUCGAGACGACGUCGAUCCCGUCGCACUGGGCGGACCGCUUUGUUCAUCAUCCUCGCUAUCGUCAUCACGUUCUGUUUCCUCAUCCGAUUCAAUCUUACGGCUAUUUUUCUUCUUCUUCUGUUCUGUUUCGAUAGUGUGCUUCUGCAACACUUCCUUCCGUAAUCCCGGUUUUGAUGUUUUCUUUAACUUAAUAAAAUUGUCUUUUAUUUCAGGCCUUUCUGCUGCCUUAUCCUGACGGAUUACCGGCUUCAGCGACGGAGCUGCACUCGCUUCCCGUUGUGUAUGUGACGAAUUUGGAUCAGAAGGGGUGAAUGUCUGAUGAUCGUAGCGAUCAUUUCCGGGCGGAGCAACUGUGUCUCCCGUGCUCACUGGUGCUUCCGGUUCAAAGUGAACUUCUCGGGCCGGAUGCUGUGCCUGAUUCCGAUUAUAUAUGGCGACUCGACAUUGAUCACCUUCCGCUCGAAGACGAUCCGCUUCCGUUUGGCGCAGGUCGGCGUCAGCCUGCUGAUUAACAUUUGACUGCCGGGAUGCUUUCAAUGCUUCAUACUCCCGUCGGAGCUCUUCUGUGGCAUUUUCCAGAUUGCGAUUAUCAUCCUUUAACUGGAGCUGAUCCAUGCGUUUUGAUUCACCAAUGGAGUCCAGUUUUGCUUUUGACUGUGCCACUAUUCUCCGUAUUCCUCGGAAUAGGAACGGGAGUGACUCACGUGUGAUCUUUUCCAAAUCUUUUUCUGUGACUGCCGUGGCCAACCUAUCAUCAACGCUGGCGGCCUGUUCCAUGAAUUCUUCGUCAGAGAAUUCGAAAUCCUUAUCCGUUAUGUACUGCUGCAAUCCCAACUGGGAUGCAUGGAAAGUGGAAUUACCUGUGCGAAUCAUUUUCAUUUUAGGUAGAGGCGGACAGUCAGUGGAUGCACGGUGGAAUCCCUCGUACGUACUCCUCCACACGUCAAUACAGCUGUCAUGAAGAAAUUUUUCGAGUGCAAUUUUAGUGCAAACAUUACUGUGACCA